GGAUGUGAGGGUGAUGUGGCUGUAACAUCUGCCAUCCCAUUGAUCACCAGGGCUGAUUUGGCUGAUCUGACUGGAUAGGCAGGUGCCCCCUUCCUCCCUCACCAUUCCAUGUAUGUUCCUCCGGAUGCUGCUAGCUUGGUCAAAGAGGAAGACUAUCCCCUCUAGAGAAGGAUCAUUCUUCGGUCAAGGGUGUACAAGUAGCUGUGCACUCUGCUAGAGCCUCCAAACAGGCUCUCAAGUUACAUGUUCACUUAGAGAUAAUUGUAAAGAUCUUACCAUGAAUAGUUUCACCAAUACUUUUGUUAGAUGCUAAUUUACAGU
rnacentral:snRNA from 1 species